UUCGAUGUCGGUGUCUUAAUUCUCAUCGUCCAACUUUCAACCACGAAGAAGAUUUGAUGUUCAAAGCUCAGUGAGCCGGUGAAUCGUGGGUUUCUCUGGAAGUUGAUACCAAAAGCGUGGAAAGGCGAAGUCCAGGUGAGGACAAAGGCGCAUCAUCAAAGGUCGGACGUCCUCGAAGCGGAGGUGAAAAUCGAGGGUCAUGGGGUGGUGAAGAGGCGGAGUCGAACCAUCAUGCCAAGACUCAGGAUCCGGUGACGUCAGUGGACUCUCGCUCGGCGAAGGAACGGUUCACUGAAGGGGGGAGG